ACACGAAAGGUCUCAUAGCACCGAUAAUCUCUCAAACUCGGUUGGGAUGUUGCAGCACCGAGUUCUCUCUCAAACACCAAACUAGGUUGUUAUCUGCACCCUAUUGUUUCGCACAUGUUUCGAUUCCAUUCUCACCGAUAACACACGAAAGGUCUCAUAGCUCCGAUUUUCUCUCAAACUCGGUUGGAGUGUUGCAGCACCGAGUUCUCUCUCAAACACGAAACUAGGCUGUUAUCUGCACCCUAUUGUUUCGCACAUGUUUCGAUUCCAUCACCACCGAUAAGAUUGCAAUCCACCCCGAUUCGUUAGGCACAGGUUUGAUAUGGAAGACAGUGGCUUCCAAUUAUUCAAAAGUAACGAUGUCGACACAAACCUAAGUGAAGAUUUGGAUGAGCAUAUGGAAGAUGAAUUGACUGAGAGUAUUGGAGACAUGUUUGAUAUGGAAGACAGUGGUUUACAAGAUCAUUGCAAAAACUCCGUUAGUGAAGAUUUGAAUGACCAUAUGGAAGACACAAACGGUACACGAGACGAAGAAUUUGAUGAUCGUACACUCUUCAAAGGCAAGCCGUAUAAGGACUUGACAUUAGAGGAUCUUCGUGGUGUUGAGUUCAAGAGUGUGGAAGACGUGGACAGAUUCUACUCCUAUUAUUCAUUGGCAAUGGGUUUCAGCAUAAGGAAGUUUAAACUUGACAAGAACCGUUCUAGAACACAAUUGAACAGAAGAGUGCUGGUUUGCUCAAAACAAGUGCCGUAGUUGCGAGUGUCGAAGGAAUGCACGUCACAAGGACUGAUCUUCAAUGCCUUGGUCCAAGGGAGCUUGUCUGCAGCCUGGUUAUAAAUAUAUUUGUGGAGUACCUUAACGAAAUAGGAAAGGAGGAUUGGUAUGUCCCAACAUACUUCGGGAGAAACUCUAUAAAAAUGGGAGACAACAUGUCAACUCAAGAAUGGAUUCAACAGACUAAAAGACUAAGUAGGCUUGACAGGUUCAUUGGCCAAUUUGCCAAAUGCAG